rnacentral:rRNA from 1 species
UACGUAGGGUGCGAGCGUUGUCCGGAAUUAUUGGGCGUAAGGAGCUCGUAGGCGGCCACUCAAGUCGAAUGUGAAACCUCGAGGCUUAACCUCGAGCCUGCAUUCGAUACUGGGCGGCUAGAGUCUGGUAGGGGGAUCUGGAAUUCCUGGUGUAGCGGUGGAAUGCGCAGAUAUCAGGAGGAACACCGGUGGCGAAGGCGGGAUCCUGGGCCAGUACUGACGCUGAGGAGCGAAAGCGUGGGGAGCAAACAGG